ensembl:miRNA microRNA 378a
GCCACCCAGGGCUCCUGACUCCAGGUCCUGUGUGUUACCUCGAAAUAGCACUGGACUUGGAGUCAGAAGGCCUGAGUGGAGU